AAAAGCAGUCAAAUAAACUAAAGAGUUUUUAACACUCUAAGUCAUUUUUUGUGUUUUUAUUACACACUCAGUCACAUUAUGCUACUAAGGUAGAUCUUUGUGAUAAAAAGACUUACAAGCCCUCAACUAAUUAAACACAACAAAUGGGAUCAGUUUAAGAUAUCGCCGCUUUGUUUAUUUUUGUGAAGAUUUCAAAAUUCAAACUUUAAUUCAUAUCUUUUAAUUACAACCACAUAAAUUUAAAAUACCUUUUUACUUUAUUAUUUCUACUUCUGUUUUUCUUUGAAUUAAAAGAACGACGUAACUAAGUCAAUUUCUUCCUCCGUAUCAACGACGUCUCUCCUUGUUCACCGCUGGAAAGCUCCACUUCACCUUAGGCGUUUUGUAUUGAAACUAUGAACUCACGGACUCAACGGUGGAAAAGACCAAGAUCCCAGGGUUUAUGACAGGAUGAAAAGAAGGUUUCCGAUCUUGGAAAUCCAGACUCGGAUCCGUUCUUGGCACUGGUUGUCGAUAAAAAAUGCAUCAUGGUCAUCAAAGAGCGUAAAUUUGAAUGUAUUUGUGUUAUAUUUACAAAUUUGCUGGUACAUAAGGAAGAAGGUAAGGAGCAAAGGAUUUCAAAAUCUUGAUGAAUGUACAUUUGUUCGUGUAUGUACACUUGUACAUUAGUUUGGACCUUGUCCACAUGUACAUUGGUUUACUUUCGUACACAUGUACACCUUACCAGCAAGCAGAUGUAUGUUUCAAUAUGUACAAAAAACAUGAACACAUGUACACCAUAUUUUCUUGAGUUGAUUACCAUAUGAGACACAUUUUGAGUU